CACGUCCGCUCGCCAUGCCUGACUAAUUAAACUUAAUUAAAAUUAACUUCUAUCCGUCAUUCCCCCUUUCUCUCUUUCCUCCUUCCUUAUCCCCUCUUUCUCCUUGCGUCCCUUCCUCCUUCUUUCCAUCAGUCAUCCCUUCCUCUCACUCUUUCCUUCUUAUUAUCCGUCUACCCUUUCUUCGUUCCUUCCAUCAUCUCCAUCUUACUCCCUCCCUUAACGCCUUCAAUCUAUCUUCAACUCUCUAAUUUUACCUUUCUUUCUUCUCAAUACGUCUUCCUCACUCCUUCACAUAUCUCCGCAUUCGCAUUCGAUCCUCAUACGAAAUAUUUUUCCACUUCAGGCUUUGCAACCGUCUUUGCUGUAAGAAGAAGAAGAAGCAGAAAACAAAUCCAUCCAAGCUCUGGGACUUACAAUGAAGACACUGCUUGCUCAAAAUUUUCCUGUGAAAAUGUGAUCAUCGCUAUUCUCGAUGAGUAUACGUUGCAGAAAAGAUCAUUUGUCGUUGAAAGGCAAGACGUCCAUCUCUCUUUAUUACCCUGCGAGAAGUUGCAGAAAUAGUUACCAAGUUUGCUAGCGUGUUGUAGCAACUAGGGCUUGGCAUCCACACAAAUUAACUUUUUCCAAGAUAGUUAAAUAAUUCAUGUAUAUUUGUACAGAUUUCCAUUCUAUAACUUACUGAACUUUUAUUAUCUGUAUUAUGAAAUUUGUUGCAGUACAU